rnacentral:lncRNA from 1 species
CUUCCUUCUAAAUUUUUUAACUUCUUUAAUUCGCUCUGGAGGAAAAACCAAAGUUCUUUAGCCCCAUUUUCAAUCCUUCUUCUCAGUAUUUCAUGGUCUUUUCCAAGGCCUCCAUCUCCUGUCUGCUUCUUAUAGUUUUCUAUCUGUUCUUUGGCCUUUAAAAGUUGCUCCUCUAAAGCAUGUACUUUUCCUGCAGCUGGUCCCUGAUCAAUGGGUCCAUCUGGUAUCCUGAGAGAUUCUGCCAUCCGCCUUAAGUCUUCAUUUUGUUGCUUUAAACGUUCAAGUUUAGCAAGUAUCUUGGACAAUUCACGACUAGAAUGAUCUGGGUGCUCACUGUCUCGUACCAGGUGUCCACCAAUAUAGAAGAGUAAAGUUCCCCACGCAAAGAGGAUGAGCAUAAUCCAACGCCAGGAACCAGUCCAUGGCCGCAUUUUCAGAUGCUCAGUUCACUCCAGAACUGUUUUUUUCUCUCUUGGACUUCCUCUGCCUGAUGCAUCCCAGGACUGGGUUUGUUUUUUUCAUGGCCACUUUACUUUAGCAGUCCUCAAUCAUGAAAGCUCCAAAUCUUUCUGCACAUAUAUCUCUUCAAAUUGAUGAGCUCCCAUCCAGUAAUACUUUCUGUUCAAAUUAACACUUUCC